GACGAACGCUGGCGGCGUGCUUAACACGUGCAAGUCGAGCGGUAAGGCUCCUUCGGGAGUACACGAGCGGCGAACGGGUGAGUAACACGUGAGCAAUCUGCCCUUCUCAUCGGAAUAACCAUUGGAAACGAUGGCUAAUGCCGAAUACGACUUCCUUUCGCAUGUCAGGAAGUGGAAAGCCCCGGCGGAGAAGGAUGAGCUCGCGGCCUAUCAGCUUGUUGGUGAGGUAAUGGCUCACCAAGGCGACGACGGGUAGCCGGCCUGAGAGGGGGGCCGGCCACACUGGGACUGAGACACGGCCCAGACUCCUACGGGAGGCAGCAGUGGGGAAUAUUGGACAAUGGGCGAAAGCCUGAUCCAGCAACGCCGCGUGAGGGAUGACGGCCUUCGGGUUGUAAACCUCUUUCAGCAGGGACGAAGCGAAAGUGACGGUACCUGCAGAAGAAGGACCGGCCAACUACGUGCCAGCAGCCGCAGUAA
rnacentral:rRNA from 1 species